rnacentral:rRNA from 1 species
GCGCACCAGUCGAGAACCUCCGCAAUACACGAAAGUGUGACGGGCCAUCCCGAGUGCCGUCCGCUGAGGACGGCUUUCCCCAGUGUACAUAGCUGGGGAAUAAGGAGAGGGCAAGCCUGGUGUCAGCCGCCGCGGUAAUACCAGCUCUCCGAGUGGUGGGGACGCUUAUUGGGCCUAAAGCAUCCGUAGCCGGCUGGGCAAGUCCUCCGUUAAAUCCAACGAUUCAAUCGUUGGGCUGCGGGGGAUACUGUCCAGCUUGGGGGCGGGAGAGGCCGACGGUAUUCCCGGGGUAGGGUGAAAUCCUAUAAUCCCGGGAGGACCACCAGUGGCGAAGGCUGUCGGCUAGAACGCGCCCGACGGUGAGGGAUGAAAGCUGGGGGAGCGAACCGGAUUAGAUACUCCCGUAGU